rnacentral:rRNA from 1 species
CCAAUAGCGUAUAUUAAAGUUGUUGCAGUUAAAAAGCUCGUAGUUGAACUUCGGGGUCUACCCAUUGGUCAGGCUUAAUUGUCUGCACUGGUGAGAUGGACCUCUACCUUCUGAGGAACUUUCAUGCCAUUUAUUUAGUGUGAUUGGAAAUCAGGACUGUUACUUUGAAAAAAUUAGAGUGUUUAAAGCAGACUAUCGUCUGAAUACAUUAGCAUAGAAUAAUGAAAUAGGACGGACUGAUUCUAUUUCGUUGGUUUCUAGGAUCACCGUAAUGAUUAAUAGGGAUAGUUGGGGGCAUUAGUAUUCAAUUGUCAGAGGUGAAAUUCUUGGAUUUAUUGAAGACUAACUACUGCGAAAGCAUUUGCCAAGGAUGUUUUCAUUAAUCAAGAACGAAAGUUAGGGGAUCGAAGACGAUCAGAUACCGUCGUAGUCUUAACCAUAAACUAUGCCGACUAGGGAUCGGAUGAUGUUAAUUUUUUAAUGACUCAUUCGGCGCCUUACG